AUUGAACGCUGGCGGCAGGCCUAACACAUGCAAGUCGAACGAGUGGCGGACGGGUGAGUAAUGUCUGGGAAACUGCCUGAUGGAGGGGGAUAACUACUGGAAACGGUAGCUAAUACCGCAUACCAUCAGAUGUGCCCAGAUGGGAUUAGCUAGUGGGUGGGGUAACGGCUCACCUAGGCGACGAUCCCUAGCUGGUCUGAGAUGAUGACCAGCCACAUUGGAACGGGGAUCCGGUCCAGACGCCGACGUGAGGCAGCAGUGGGGAAUAUUGCACAAUGGGCGCAAGCCUUAUGCAGCCAUGCCGCGUGUAUGAAGAAGGCCUUCGGGUUGUAAAGUACUUUCAGCGGGGAGGCGUUACCCGCAGAAGAAGCACCGGCUAACUCCGUGCCAGCAGCCGCGGUAAUUC
rnacentral:rRNA from 1 species